GACGAACGCUGGCGGCGUGCCUAAUACAUGCAAGUCGAACGCAGUGGGGACGGGUGAGUAACCCGUUGGUAACCUCCCAUCAGAGGGGAUAACACUUGGAAACAGGUGCUAAACCGAUACUGAUGGAUGGACCCGCGGUGCAUUAGCUCGUUGGUGAGGUAACGGCUCACCAAGGCCACGAUGCAUAGCCGACCGGCGAGGGUGAUCGGCCAAACUGGGACUGAGACACGGUCCAGAAUCCAACGAGAGGAAGCAGUAGGGAAGCGUCGGCAAUGGACGAAAGUCUGACCGAGCAACGCCGCGUGAGUGAAGAAGGUUUUCGGAUCGUAAAACUCUGUUGUUAGAGAAGCGGUAUCUAACCAGAAAGCCACGGCUAACUACGUGCCAGCAGCCGCGGUAAUAG
rnacentral:rRNA from 1 species